CGUAGGGGAGAUUGUGCAUGCAGAUCUCGGACGAAUACUUCGUAUUUUGCUAGUUUUUUCACCCUUUCCCUCCCGACUCCAAAAUGUUUGGUUUAAGCAGAAUUAAUCACGGCUUGCGUAUGAUCUCAGGAAUCAACAGAGCUGCACCCUCGAGGAAUGGUAGUGCAGUGUACCGUGGCGCUAUGGCUCCAUCUAGGACCAGACAGAUUCAAGGAAUGGCCGUCGUCUCGGCCAUGUGGUUCUGGAUACUCUGGAGAUUUUACCACGAGCCUGCCGAUGUCUUCGGUCAUUUUGAGUAUCCAGAUCCAUCAAAGUGGACCGAUGAAGAGCUGGGAAUUCCCCCUGAUGAUGAGGAUUGAUGUUAGUUAGAGCAACUUAGAAUAUAGGACCUGUAUAUAGCUCAAAGCCUUAUGUCGAUGGAGUUGAAGAGGACACAUGUCAAAGCUGAUUCUAUUGAUCUGUAGGAGUUAUCACUUGAUGUUGAUUGGAGACAUCUAAAUGAACCUUCCCCAUCAACCUACAGCAAUGAGCCAUCAUGUAUGGAACUGCCCAAAUUGUGGAGUGUAACAGAUGCUAGUAAUAGCAAUGGACAGGUCAAAUGAAAAUCUCAAUAUGUGGGACUGUUGAUAAUAAAAUUGCAAUAUAGCUUAUGACACUGUAAAGAUAGAGGGUCGUUUCUCAUAACUUUAGCCGGGACUAAGUCCAGACUAAACAAGAAUUUUAGUUCACACAUCUAUGGAAUGCUAGGUUUCA